UACGUAGGGGGGCAAGCGUUGUCCGGAUUUAUUGGGCGUAAAGAGCGUGUAGGCGGCUAUACAGGUCCGUUGUGAAAACUCGAGGCUCAACCUCGAGACGCCGGUGGAAACUGCAAAGCUAGAGUCCGGAAGAGGAGAGUGGAAUUCCACGUGUAGCGGUGAAAUGCGUAGAGAUGUGGAGGAACACCAGUGGCGAAGGCGACUCUUUGGCCUGUAACUGACGCUGAGGCGCGAAAGCGUGGGGAGCAAACAGG
rnacentral:rRNA from 1 species